rnacentral:rRNA from 1 species
UACGUAGGGGGCAAGCGUUAUCCGGAUUUAUUGGGUUUAAAGGGUGCGUAGGCGGUCGGAUAAGUUAGAGGUGAAAUCCCGAGGCUCAACUUCGGAAUUGCCUCUGAUACUGUUCGGCUAGAGAGUAGUUGCGGUAGGCGGAAUGUAUGGUGUAGCGGUGAAAUGCUUAGAGAUCAUACAGAACACCGAUUGCGAAGGCAGCAUACCGGCGCCCAACUGACGCUGAAGCACGAAAGCGUGGGUAUCGAACAGG